rnacentral:rRNA from 1 species
GAUGAACGCUGGCGGCGUGCUUAACACAUGCAAGUCGAACGAAGCACUUUAUUUGAUUUCCUUCGGGACUGAUUAUUUUGUGACUGAGUGGAGGACGUGUGAGUAACGCGUGGGUAACCUGCCUUGUACAGGGGGAUAACAGUUGGAAACGGCUGCUAAUACCGCAUAAGCGCACAGCAUCGCAUUAUGCAGUGUGAAAACCUCCGGUGGUAUAAGAUGGACCCGCGUUGGAUUAGCUAGUUGGUGAGGUAACGGCCCACCAAGGCGACGAUCCAUAGCCGAACUGAGAGGGUGACCGGCCACAUUGGGACUGAGACACGGACCAAACUCCUACGGGAGGCAGCAGUGGGGAAUAUUGCACAAUGGGCGAAAGCCUGAUGCAGCGACGCCGCGUGAGCGAAGAAGUAUUUCGGUAUGUAAAGCUCUAUCAGAAGGGAAGAUAAUGACGGUACCUGACUAAGAAGCACCGGCUAAAUACGUG